CCUAUGGCGUACGGACUCGAUCCACUCUUCUCGUUUAAGGCCAACAGAGCCUCUUUGAUCAUCUGAAAAUAUGGAGGAUGAGAAGCAGUUUUGGGCUGUUUAGGCUUCUUCUCCUUCACUGGCUUCUCCGUCGGCUUGGCCUCCUCCUCCGUCAAAGGCGGCUGCUCAACGACAGCCGCAACCUCAGGUUCUUUGUCGGCAGUCAUUUCAUCUCACAGAGACAGAACAAAAGAAGAAAAU
rnacentral:misc_RNA from 1 species